rnacentral:rRNA from 1 species
GACGUAGGGCGCGAGCGUUUGUCCGGAUUUAUUGGGCGUAAAGAGCUCGUAGGCGGCUUGUCGCGUCAACUGUGAAACCCGUGGCUCAACCAUGUGGUCUGCAGUCGAUACGGGCAGACUAGAGGUAGGUAGGGGAGAAUGGAAUUCCCGGUGUAGCGGUGAAAUGCGCAGAUAUCGGGAGGAACACCGGUGGCGAAGGCGGUUCUCUGGGCCUUACCUGACGCUGAGGAGCGAAAGCGUGGGGAGCGAACAGG